rnacentral:rRNA from 1 species
AAUACGUAGGGGGCAAGCGUUGUCCGGAAUCAUUGGGCGUAAAGCGCGUGUAGGCGGCCAGAAAAGUCCGCUGUGAAAACUCGAGGCUCAACUUCGAGCUGUCGGUGGAAACUUUCUGGCUAGAGUCCGGAAGAGGAGAGUGGAAUUCCUGGUGUAGCGGUGAAAUGCGCAGAUAUCAGGAAGAACACCUAUGGCGAAGGCAGCUCUCUGGGACGGUACUGACGCUGAGACGCGAAAGCGUGGGGAGCGAACAG